rnacentral:rRNA from 1 species
AUGAAGGACGCCGCGUUCGUGGUGUCCCAGUUGCCUCCCAUGGCCCCGCCCUGCAGUGGCACCCGGCCGUUGAGCGCGUUGAGCCCGAACACGAUCUUCGCCCUGAAGGCGUUGAGGUCGUCCCAGCGGGGCAUGGGCAGGCAGCCCUGGGUGAAGCCGAACAUCUCCGACUUACUCCUGUUGAACGGCGCGCACGGCCCCGGCCGGUCCGCCGUGCCGUACACCACCUUGUCCUGCAGCGAGCCGCCCAGCCGGAGCACCAGCGGCGAGAAGGCUGCAAGCAAAAGGGGAAUUCCAGCACCGGUGUCGGUGCCUCGGUGGUGA